rnacentral:rRNA from 1 species
GACGAACGCUGGCGGCGUGCUUAACACAUGCAAGUCGAACGGAAAGGCCUCUUUCGGGGGGUACUCGAGUGGCGAACGGGUGAGUAACACGUGAGUAACCUGCCCUUGACUUUGGGAUAACUUCAGGAAGCUGGGGCUAAUACCGGAUAGGAGCUCCUGCUGCAUGGUGGGGGUUGGAAAGUUUCGGCGGUUGGGGAUGGACUCGCGGCUUAUCAGCUUGUUGGUGGGGUAGUGGCUUACCAAGGCUUUGACGGGUAGCCGGCCUGAGAGGGUGACCGGCCACAUUGGGACUGAGAUACGGCACAGGCUCCUACGGGAGGCAGCAGUGGGGAAUAUUGCACAAUGGGUGGAAGCCUGAUGCAGCAACGCCGUGUGCGGGAUGACGGCCUUCGGGUUGUAAACCGCUUUCGCUCAUGACGAAGCUUUGUGUGACGGUAGUGGGUAAAGAAGCACCGGCUAACUACGUG